CUAAGGUAUAUCCGGUACUGGUAUUGCAGCUGCAGUGCUUGGUGCAUUAUUAGCUGCACUACUCGUUGCAUUGGCAGCAUACACUGCAUUCAAAUUAUGCAUUUGUGAAAAGGGAGAUUAUCACUGUGAUGUAGUUGACGGGGUUCCCGAGGGAGAGAUUCAUAAUCCGAGCUGGGAUUAUCCUUCUCUAGAUUUUAUACCAAACGAUGAAGAGAUUGUCUUCACACUCGCGCAGGCGAAGGAUAUGGUUGGUGCGAGUAAUGCUAGUACUAUUCAUGUUACUGAUGAAGUUGUGAUGCAUCAACUUCCAGAACAUGCUGCAGACAAUCCUAAUCAUCAAUAUAAUCAUCAAGAUAACCCAGCUUACAUUGAAACAGAGAUCGAUAGAAUAUCAUGAUUAAUCAGGGAUCUAUUAAUGAUCAAUUCAAGAUGUAUAAAUGAUAAAUCAGUGAUCAAUUCAUGGUUCAUUUAUGAUUAAUUCAUGAUAAAUCACUGAUCAAUUCAUGAUAAAUUACUGAUCAAUUCAUGGUUACUUUUUGAUCAAUUCAAGAUAUAUCAGUGAUCAAUUCAUGGUUAAUUUAUGAUCAAUUUAAGAUUUAUCAGUGAUAAAGCAGCGAUCAAUAAGUGAUCAAUUAGUGAUAAAGCAGUGAUAAGUUCAUGAUAAAUCUGGAAGGAAUGAGUCUUUUAAAAUCGCAAUAUUUUUGCAAUAUAACGUCGUAAACCUUAGAUAUUUCAAACUAUGAAUCCUGUCAGAUCAAAUGAUAUUAGUUUGAAAUAUAAGAGAUUUAGUGCAACAAAGGUUGCAAAGAUAUAGUGACAAAACUCAUUUAUUUUUAGGGUCAAUUCUGACAAAUUAAUGAUCAACCAUUAUUAAAUUCAUGGUAAAAUUAUGAUCAAUUUAUGAUAAAUUAUUGAUUAUUUAAUGAGAAAUUCCUAAUCAACUAGUGUAAAUUCAUUAUUAUUUUACGAUCAACUUAUGAAAAAUUCCAGGAUCAACCAGUAAUAAAUUUAAGCUCAAUUCAUGAACAAUUAAUGAUCAAUUAUUAUUGAUCAAUUCAUCUUAUAUUUAUGAUCAAUACCGUUAAAUUAAUGAUCAAACAGUAAAAACUUUAUGCGUAUAUUCAUGAUUUAUUCAUGAUAAAUUUGAUCAUAAUUAAUCUUUCAAAAACUUAUAUUUCUCUUACGGCAUAACAUAGUUAUUUAAAGUUAGACGAAAUAGUCCAAUUUUCUCACAAAAUGUUCUAAUUUAUAAUUUAUGUUUAUUUCUAUUUUUAUAAAUUUCAAAAAUUAUUCUUCUAAAUCUUUUGAUAUUAGUAUUUAAUAUGUUUUAUGAAUCUCAAAACUCUACCUUUUAUAAUACCUUGACGCUAAGUAAGUGAGAAGAAAAAUAUAUGUUUAAAGGCAGUAGGCCCAAUUGACAUGGAGAUAUAAGGGUAAAGAUUAAAAGUUGUGUUUUAUUUGGGCAAUAAUAUUUAUUUUAAUUUGUCAUUCAUUAAAAUACCAGAUAUUUUUUUAUUUCAAGCUUUUACAAUACCAACCUUAUAGUUGUUUAAAGGACAUAUAUUUGCAAUAAAAUAUGAUUUUUACAACACCAACCUUAUAGUUGUUUAAAGGACAUAUUUGCAAUAAAAUAUGAUUUUUUGUUACUUAAUCCUCUUUUUUUCUUGGAACACACUUUCCAAUGCGUUGGAAACAUUAAAUUGUAAAUUUGAUCUUUGAAAACCCCUGCAACUGAAAACCCCUGGAACUGAACACCCCCUGCAACUGAACACCCCCUGCAACUAAAACCAAAAAUACACACUAGAAGCUCUCAUGUCUUAGUUUAAAAAAGUGCUCUGAAAUUUUUGGGAGAAGCAAACCUAGUGAUGCUGGGGGUUGUUUACAUUUUUCCAAUAAAAUGCAGUACCCUGUUUUUUGUAUGGGGUUUCAUGGUGUAUCUUUUCUUAUCUUAAACUUUACAGUGUGUAAAUACUUUGUAAUUAGCGCUUCCUAAAUUAUAUUUAUAUAUAUUGCAAACAUCAACUGUACUGCAGUGUUAUUCCAGAAGUUAAAGCAUACUUUCUGUUUAUAUUCAGUCGUCGUCGCAUAUAUCAAUACAAUGAAGACGACUUUCUAUUUCAAUGUUUAAUUCCACCUUAAGCUUUUAAACAGCAU